GAAAGCCGUAUUCGAUGAAAGUCGUAUGUACGGCUUUGAGGGAGAUCUUUGCUAUCUUUCGAGAUCCACCCUAC
rnacentral:ncRNA from 1 species